CAAUAGCGUAUAUUUAAGUUGUUGCAGUUAAAAAGCUCGUAGUUGGAUUUCGGUUGAGAACGGCCGGUCCGCCGUUUGGUGUGCACUGGCUGGUCUCAACUUCCUGUAGAGGACGCGCUCUGGGUUAACGCUCGGACGCGGAGUCUACGUGGUUACUUUGAAAAAUUAGAGUGUUCAAAGCAGGCGUUUGCUUGAAUAUAUUAGCAUGGAAUAAUGGAAUAGGACGCUGGUUCUAUUUUGUUGGUUUUGAGAACCAGAGUAAUGAUUAAUAGGGACAGUUGGGGGCAUUCAUAUUUCAUUGUCAGAGGUGAAAUUCUUGGAUUUAUGAAAGAUGAACUUCUGCGAAAGCAUUUGCCAAGGAUGUUUUCAUUAAUCAAGAACGAAAGUUAGGGGAUCGAAGAUGAUCAGAUACCGU
rnacentral:rRNA from 1 species